rnacentral:rRNA from 1 species
GCAUAUCAAUAAGCGGAGGAAAAGAAACCAACAGGGAUUGCCCUAGUAACGGCGAGUGAAGCGGCAACAGCUCAAAUUUGAAAUCUGGCUUUCGGGCCCGAGUUGUAAUUUGUAGAGGAUGAUUUUGAUGCGGUGCCUUCCGAGUUCCCUGGAACGGGACGCCAUAGAGGGUGAGAGCCCCGUCUGGUUGGAUGCCAAAUCUCUGUAAAUCUCCUUCGACGAGUCGAGUAGUUUGGGAAUGCUGCUCUAAAUGGGAGGUAUAUGUCUUCUAAAGCUAAAUACCGGCCAGAGACCGAUAGCGCACAAGUAGAGUGAUCGAAAGAUGAAAAGCACUUUGAAAAGAGAGUUAAAAAGUACGUGAAAUUGUUGAAAGGGAAGCGUUUAUGACCAGACUUGGGCUUGGUUAAUCAUCUGGGGUUCUCUCCAGUGCACUUUUCCAGUCCAGGCCAGCAUCAGUUUUCGCCGGGGGAUAAAGGCUUCGGGAAUGUGGCUCCCCUCGGGGAGUGUUAUAGCCCGUUGUGUAAUACCCUGGUGGGGACUGAGGUUCGCGCUUCUGCAAGGAUGCUGGCGUAAUGGUCAUCAACGACCCGUCUUGAAACACGGACCAAGGAGUCGUCUUCGUAUGCGAGUGUUCGGGUGUCAAACCCCUACGCGUAAUGAAAGUGAACGCAGGUGAGAGCUUCGGCGCAUCAUCGACCGAUCCUGAUGUUCUCGGAUGGAUUUGAGUAAGAGCAUACGGGGCCGGACCCGAAAGAAGGUGAACUAUGCCUGUGUAGGGUGAAGCCAGAGGAAACUCUGGUGGAGGCUCGCAGCGGUUCUGACGUGCAAAUCGAUCGUCAAACAUGGGCAUGGGGGCGAAAGACUAAUCGAACCUUCUAGUAGCUGGUUUCCGCCG